UGGGGGAUAUUGCACAAUGGGGGAAACCCUGAUGCAGCGACGCCGCGUGAGUGAAGAAGUAUUUCGGUAUGUAAAGCUCUAUCAGCAGGGAAGAAAAAGACGGUACCUGACUAAGAAGCCCCGGCUAACUACGUGCC
rnacentral:rRNA from 1 species